CCUAAGAUUGCACUCAUUACUCUAAACCCAAAGAAGACACAAUUGCAGAACUGUUUAUUGGUCUACUUGUUUUGGGUGACUCCAGAAACAUUUGGCAAGUGUGUCAAGCAAGCCAAAAGGUAAAGGCAAAUCUCUCUAUGACAAUGUCUAUGAAUGCCUGAACUUGGAAGAAAGUCAAUACUUUGGACUAAGUGUUUAUGACAAAAAUGAUAAUUUGGUGUCUGUUGCCUGCUGGUGCUGACUACAACCUCCUGGGUAUAGCCAGAAUACUAGAGAUGCAUGGUAUUAUACUCUAUCCUGCCAAGGCCCAGCCCAUACAUGUAUGUGUGUCUGUAUAUUUCAGAACAGGACAAAAAAAUUAAUACAUUUCCUAGGCAAAAAUAAGAAAGUGUAGUUUUAAGAGAAGAAGAUUUCUUUUGAAGCUCCAUCCUGAAAUAUUUGGCCAUAACUAGGAUGUUGUGGCAAGUAGGAAUGCAUGUAAAAGCUUUUGGAAAAUUGCAAUAACUACACAUGCUUUCUUCAGGUGAAGGAAUGCCGGCCGAAAGAAGGUAAGGAAAUGGAUCAUUAUGGAAAAAUACAUCAUAAAUGAUGCCUUGCAAGGUUAGAAUUGAAAAACCAUUAAAAAAACACAAGAAUCUAAGCAAAACGAGAGUGCUUAGGAAUGUUGAAGAUUUCCUUGGGUUAUACGGACAAACUUAAUCCUCUCCUCUUUAAAUAGCCGUCAUUGUGUCAAUCAAAAUCAUUUUUGUGUUUAUAUUUGCAGCAUUUACAGAAGCUUGGAGGAGGGAUCAGUAGAAAUGUUUUUGUAGUAAAUAUUGCCAUAACCAUAAUAAAGACAGACUGCUGAAUAGAAAUGGCCUUUAUUUGACUUUGCAAGUGAUUAACAUAAUCGGACGACCGCGAAGACGUUAGGAGUUAAAAGGCGUACAAUGUAUUGUUUUUCCAAUUUUGUUCCAUAUCCCACAGCUGUUUGCGUAAUGAAGUAUGGGGUAAAAAAGAAAUCUUGCCGAUACUGCGUUGCUAUGCAUUUUUUUUCUGUUUAAUCCACUUUACUGAAUUUGGAUCUUAGCUUUUGUAGAGUAAAGUUGUUGUCUACAUGUAGCUGUUUA